rnacentral:rRNA from 1 species
UACGUAGGGGGCAAGCGUUGUCCGGAUUUAUUGGGCGUAAAGAGCGUGUAGGCGGCCAGACAGGUCCGUUGUGAAAACUGGAGGCUCAACCUCCAGACGUCGAUGGAAACCGUCUGGCUAGAGUCCGGAAGAGGAGAGUGGAAUUCCGUGGUGUAGCGGUGAAAUGCGCAGAUAUCAGGAAGAACACCCGUGGCGAAAGCGGCUCUCUGGGACGGUACUGACGCUGAGACGCGAAAGCGUGGGGAGCGAACAGG